GGAACCACAUUUCACAUAGAAGACUGAGGUAUUCAGUAUGAUGAUCAAGCUUCGCUGUACUAGAAUGGCAUUAUAUUCACUGAGAAGACACAGCUCCGUGUCUGUCUCUGAAGGUGUGUACAGAGGAUCAGUUAAAGACGAAGACUCAUCCUGACAGAGGAUGCACAACCUUUGCACAUGAAGUCAGAAUGAGCAGAAAGGGAGUGAAUGAAGAAGCCAGGUUUAAAUCCAGAACUCAAGAAACAGAGGCAAGACAGCUUGACUUAGAAGCCAGCCUGAGUUUUCAUCUUAUCUCUUCAAUGAAAAGAUCAGUAUAUCACACAACCCCUGUCAGAGAAGUGUCUUUCCAGUUGAUGGUGAUCCACACAGAUUUCCACAACUGGCCGAGAAGUGUCUUUGGAAGAGGACUCUGGGUAGGAGAAACAGAGGGAGUCACAAUGUUGCCCGUCAGAGAAGUAAGUGUCUGGAACUCUUCUCCGGUAAGAGAAAUACUUAUAUUGGCAAUUAUGGGAUAAAUACUUAAGUCAGAGCUAGCCAGUAAGAAACAAGCAAGGCCAACAGCUUCAUAAGUCAAAAAAAAGAGUCUUUGGAAGGCAAAUCCCUAAAUAUGGUGCCUCUAUUUUAUUUUCUCUUAUCAAGGUUCAAAUAUCAUCACACAAAGAGGGGCAGAAAGAUGGUCAGAGAUGUAAUAGUUUUGUUUUGAAGUCAACAAAACCUUUUCUGUGCAUAACAUUGCACUUCCAGCUAUGAACUCUGAAGAGUUGUUACAGUACAUCCAAGGUGCUUUGCAUCAAGGAGGGAGGGAGAUAAAAAGUCCCGGGCCUAAGUGAGGCAGUGCAGGCCAUUGGUUGCUGCUACAAUACGAGAUUCUGUUUUUCUUAAGGGUUUGCCUGUAGUAGAAGUGGACCAUGUACCAGGGAAUGACCCCUACCAAAGGGCACAUGGGAAACACAAAUCUCAUUUGAUAUUAUUAUGUUUGAAGACUUUGGUUCUCAAUUUUAGGGUCAAGACCCAUUUGAUGUCAAUUUUAGAUGUUUAGAUUAUGAUUCAUAACAGUAUCAAAUUUACUGAUAUGAAAUAAUUUUAUGGUUGGAGUCAACACAACACAACACAAAGAAGUGUACUAAGUGCUCACAUUAGUCAGGUGGAGAACCACUGUUUUAAGGUGGGGGAAGUGGACAACAGUUGAGUAUUCUUGUAGAGGGGAGUUGAUCGUGGAACACUUGGGAGAACGUAAUUCAAUUUGGUAAAACACACUGUAUGAAACUUUCAAAGAAGUAAUAAAAAUCGGGCACUAUUUAUACAGUUCAUCUAAAUCAUUGCUUAGCUCAAUGCAUGGUCAUAGAAUUCUUUGUAAUAAUAAUGUUCACCACAGAUCCCGUUGUCAACCUUAACAAUGUCUGCACUAAUAUAGAUGGGUUUAGAUUCACACGUAAUUGUCAUCCCACAAAUAUAUUAAGGAGUAUAUCUGUUCUUGUGAAAUAUAUCCCAAGCUAAUACUACCUUUCAUUAGAAAAAGUAAUUAUCAGUUGGGUAUCAUUGGAAAUGUCCCAGGGAAAAGGCAACAGAAGGAUUUAAAAGCCAUGGAAUAUGAAAACUUAAAGGGAUGAUACUCACUC